rnacentral:rRNA from 1 species
GACGAACGGAGCGAGCGUUGUUCGGAAUCACUGGGCUUAAAGAGCUCGUAGGCGGGUUAUCAAGCGCUUUGUGAAAGCCCUCGGCUCAACCGAGGAAUAGCUUGGCGAACUGAUAAUCUUGAGGCAGGUAGAGGCAACUGGAACUCAUGGUGGAGCGGUGGAAUGCGUAGAUAUCAUGAGGAACGCCAGAGGCGAAAGCGAGUUGCUGGGCCUGUCCUGACGCUGAGGAGCGAAAGCGUGGGGAGCAAACGGGAUUAGAUACCCCGGUAGUCCACGCCCUAAACUAUGUCUACUAGACAAGGGAUACUCUGACGUAUUCCUUGUCGAAAUGAAAACGUUAAGUAGACCGCCUGGGGAGUACGGUCGCAAGGCUAAA